AGAGUUUGAUCAUGGCUCAGAUUGAACGCUGGCGGCAUGCCUUACACAUGCAAGUCGAACGGUAACAGGUUAAGCUGACGAGUGGCGAACGGGUGAGUAAUGUAUCGGAACGUGCCCAGUCGUGGGGGAUAACUGCUCGAAAGAGCAGCUAAUACCGCAUACGACCUGAGGGUGAAAGCGGGGGAUCGCAAGCCUCGCGCGAUUGGAGCGGCCGAUAUCAGAUUAGGUAGUUGGUGAGGUAAAGGCUCNNCAAGCCGACGAUCUGUAGCUGGUCUGAGAGGACGACCAGCCACACUGGGACUGAGACACGGCCAGACUCCUACGGGAGGCAGCAGUGGGGAAUUUUGGACAAUGGGCGCAAGCCUGACCAGCCAUGCCGCGUGCGGGAAGAAGGCCUUCGGGUUGUAAACCGCUUUUGUCAGGGAAGAAAAGGUUCUGGCUAAUACCUGGGACUCAUGACGGUACCUGAAGAAUAAGCACCGGCUAACUACGUGCCAGCAGCCGCGGUAAUACGUGGGGUGCAAGCGUUAAUCGGAAUUACUGGGCGUAAAGCGUGCGCAGGCGGUUAUGCAAGACAGAGGUGAAAUCCCCGGGCUCAACCUGGGAACUGCCUUUGUGACUGCAUGGCUAGAGUACGGUAGAGGGGGAUGGAAUUCCGCGUGUAGCAGUGAAAUGCGUAGAUAUGCGGAGGAACACCGAUGGCGAAGGCAAUCCCCUGGACCUGUACUGACGCUCAUGCACGAAAGCGUGGGGAGCAAACAGGAUUAGAUACCCUCGUAGUCC
rnacentral:rRNA from 1 species